UUUAAAUUGCUGUGGUAUUUUGACUAUACAAAGGUAUUGUAAUAAGAUUUUAAUUGAAUGCUAAAAGAAUGGAAAUUUAAAGAAAAACUUUUUUAAAAAUAAAAAUUGAAUUUUUUUUAAUUUGUGCAAAAACAAUUAUUAUUAUUAAAGACAAGAAGACCCUAAGAAUUUAUGAUUUUACCAAAAGAAAUUUCUUUUGGUAAAAUCUUGAUUGGGGCGAUCGAAAAAUAUUAAUAACUUUUAAUAAUUUAAAUUGAUCUAUUAUUAAUAAGCUAAUGAAUAAAAUACUCUAGGGAUAACAGCGUAAUAAUUUUUGAUAGACCUUAUUGACAAAAUAGUUUGCGACCUCGAUGUUGGAUUAGGAUUCUUUUUUAAUGAAGAAGUUAAAAAAAGAAGUUUGUUCAACUUUUAAAUUCCUACUUGAUCUGAGUUCAGAACCGGA
rnacentral:rRNA from 1 species